rnacentral:lncRNA from 8 species
CUGCCGUUAAAGUCACCCAGGAGGAAAUCGAUAGCUGGAAGGGACCUAAGUGGUAUAUCAGUCAUUUAGUUGCUCCUAAUCCUCACUCAACCACUACCCCUGUAAGAAUUGUCUGGAACAGUAGCCAAGAAUUCAUGGGAAUAAGUUUAAAUGACCUACUGUACAAGGGUCCUGAUGUCCUAAAUCAGAUAAGGGGCGUGCUUCUGAGAUUCAGGACUGGGUUGUACGCCGCACUGGGCGAUGUGAAAAAAAUGUACAACUCUGUCUGGCUAGAAGACAAAGAAGUACACCUCCAUAGAUUCCUCUGGAGAGACAAUCCUGAGGAGGUGAUCGAAGUCUUUGCUGUCGUCAGGGUCAACAUUGGCGAUAAACCUGCUGGUUGUAUCGCCCAGGUGGCAAUGAGAGAAACAGCCAACCUGCCCCAGUUUGCAGCCAUGGUUGAGGAGCGCAGAGUUGUGGUAGAAGAUAGUUAUGUGGAUGACAUCUUGACGUCCCACAAUGACUUGCAGAUACUGGAGAAAAUCACCAAAGGAGUGGAAAAGAUCUUAAAGGCUGGAGGCUUCUCCCUUAAGCCAUGGGUCUUAUCAGGCCAAAGUGGGAGGUCUACAACCACAACUGAUGCCAGUAUCAGUAAGACAACUGUGAGUGUGCCCAAAACGCUGGUGUUACCCAACCAGAUGCGGGACGAAGAGAGCAAAGCACUUGGAGUCGGCUAUGAACCAGAGACCGACAAACUUCGUGUGAUGACCUCUGUAAAUUUCUCAAAGAAGAGAGGAAAGAUGAGAACAGGAGUUGAUUUGCGCGAAGAGGAAGUCAGAGGUAAAACUCCAAACCCAUUGACCCGUCGAAUGCUGCUAAGCCAGAUCGCUGGAUUCUACGACCCCAUUGGUCUUGCCACACCCGCAAAGCAGAAAGGGGUUAUGCUUGUGAGAGAAGCUUACCAAGAAGCGAGUAUAAGCAGUCCAGUUAAGGACACUUGGGAUGACCCACUCUCACCAAAACUACGAGAGGCUUCUAUAAGACUCCUCGAAGAAUAUGUGAGACUUGCCCAGAUCAGGUUCGAAAGAAGCCUCACACCAACUGGAGCCAUAGGCCAUCCAAUGGGAGUCACGUUUUCAGAUGGGAGUGAGGCUUCCUACGGUGUGGUGCUCUAUCUCCGUUGGGAGACGCAGAAUGGGGUCGUAGUGAGGCUGGUUGAGUCAAAAGCAAAGCUUACCCCUCUCAACCAGAAAGGAAACGUGAUUAAGGCAGAGGUAUGUGGUGCUGUCUUUUCGAUCCGCCUGAGAAAAUACCUUGUAAAGCACUGCCGCAUCAAGGUCGCACGCUGGGUCCACUUCGUGGAUAGCCAAACAAUCCUGGGAGCAAUUCACAAGGAUAGCUAUGGCUACCAAACUUUCUUCGCUAAC